UACGUAGGGCGCAAGCGUUGUCCGGAAUCAUUGGGCGUAAAGCGCGUGUAGGCGGCCCGGUAAGUCCGCUGUGAAAGUCGGGGGCUCAACCCUCGAAUGCCGGUGGAUACUGUCGGGCUAGAGUGCGGAAGAGGCGAGUGGAAUUCCUGGUGUAGGCGGUGAAAUGACGCAGAUAUCAGGAGGAACACCAAUUGCGAAGGCAGCCCGCUGGGACGUGACUGACGCUGAGACGCGAAAGCGUGGGGAGCAAACAGG
rnacentral:rRNA from 1 species